UGCGUUUUUAGCUCAAUGGAUAGAGCAACAGCCUUCUAAGCUGUAGCGUGUAGGUUCGAUCCCUACAAAACGCGC
rnacentral:tRNA from 1 species